rnacentral:lncRNA from 1 species
UUUUUUUUUUUUUUUUUUUUGAGCCCAUUUCCCCAUCAGCAGGAAGUUGGACCUGACAGCUGUAAUAAGUGGGAUUUGAGUGUUGCUUCCCACAUUGACAAGGACUGCAGGGGCUGAAAGCCUGUGUGUGUGUGUGUGUGUGUGUGUGUGUGUGUGUGUGUAUGAGUGGAUAAAUGUAUGAGAAUGUCUAUGAGUAUGUGUGUGGGGGGUUAUGAGUCUUUAUAUCUUUGGAAAGUAUAUAUAAAGUAUUUAAAUGGGGUGUGUGUGUGUAUGUGUGUGUGUGGUCUCCAUGUACACUCUGCUCAAGUUAUUCGUGCUGUGUCCUGCAGUAGAGUGCCAUGUGGUCAUGGCAGGGACAUCUGAAUGGUUGUAAUUACAAACUUCAAGAAACAAACUAUUUCAUCCACUCUGGGGGGAAUUACUUUUUCCUGAUCUCACACUCUGUGAAGUUCAUGGCCAUUAGUAUGCAUGCAGUUCUGGGAAAGUGUGGAAGCUUUGCUUUCCACUCCUAGAGGGCUUUCUUGGAAGAGGAUGCUGAGGGUCCCACAGCCACUAUAGAAAGGAAGUCUCCAUACUUGGGGGAGUGCCAAGCAGUGAGGCCCGUCCUGCAUCUGAUUACUCCAGCCACAUGAGCUGUAGGUGCUUGCAUCAGGGUCUCAGCACACACAGUACAUACAGCUGGAGAGACUUUUGUCUCUUAGGUUAUGUGUGUCCCUCCAGAACCGAAUGCCCUGUGUGCCCAGGAACACCUGUGCUUGAGUCUUAGAAUGAGGGUGGAGCAUUAUACUGUUGUUAAUCUCAGCCCCACCCCCACCCCCACCCCCAAAAAAAAAAAAACAGUACAGCCCUUCGUGAAGCUGAGAUAAGUGAGACACAAACACAGAGCUGUGUCCGUGUGGCCUGGGGAUUAAAACUCAGGUCUCUCUGUUCUGAGACAGACUUUUUCAGUUAUCUAUAGCUUCAGACCAUGAGAAGAAGAGGAGCAGAUUCUGUCAGCUGUAGAAGGCAUGUGAUCAGAGCCUUGGCAGAACAGAGUGUCUGUGUCUGAGUGGACCUUCCAGAAGUGAACUCUUACAGGGGGGGGGGGGGGGGCAUGUCUGAAGGGCUUUGCUAGCAAAACACAGGUCAAACCUAAGGACUUUGAAAGAACUGAGGGUCUUCAGGACAUGAGAAAAGCCACAUGACGUCAUCAAGGCUGGAUGUUGUGCUGUAAUCACUGGAGAGCCCACUAAGGACCUUGGCUAUGUCGAACUCAGGUUUGCACUAAGGGCCACAUGGUCCAAGAGUAAAAGACCAAGCCAACAGCAGCCCCUCCCACCUAUCCACGUGGCAGGUUCUUCUUCAGAGCAUAUGCCCUUUCCUUCAGGGCUCCCAGCCUGCCAAGGGAGACCCACUAACAAGCCUGAAAGCUGAGGCAGGAAUGGACAGCUACAAGACUCUGCAGCAUGAAGGAGGCCUCCAGGAGGAGCUGGGAAGGCUUACUGUUGGUGAUGAUGUCUGAAUGAUGCCUGGGGGUAGACACUGGAUUUGGUUGCCGGCAGUGGACAGUACUUGUUUAUUUAGACUAUCCAAAGGUGAGGAGGAAGCAUUGGGGAGUUGGCUACAAAGAAAGGCAGGAUAGUGAUAUAAUUGCUGAGGCUCUGACACCUGCUGCCUGUGACUCUCCAUUGAAGGCACUGACCUGAGCAGAGAGAGGUGAGCACAUCCCACUUUCUAGGUUAAAAAACUGAGACACAGGGGGAUAUACUUUGGCUGUAGUUACAAGGCUAAUUAAGAGUAUAGUCAUAAGGUAAACAGGGCCAGAGAAGCUACUGUGCUGCUCACCAAGUGCUGGUGGCUAUCCACUGUGGUGAGCACCAUGCCCAUAGCAGGGGCUUGUCCUUUUUCCAUCCACUGCUCCCCACAACCAUGAUGGUAUAUCAUGGACAUGGACAGGAACUUUGGAUGCAGUCAGCUCCUGUUUGGCCAGGAGCUUCAGGAAGUCUCUUUCUCAUUCUCUGAUGCUCUACUGGGCACUCUCUAAGGUGACCAGGUCUGCUACCCACCCCCCUUUAGCAGCAGUUUGGGGACUCUGGAAAAGUGCGCAAAAGUGCCAGAGGCUCUGUAUCUGGUGAGGUUUAGCAAGUGGCUAUGCAGCCCCAGGGGCUCUCCUCACAGAGGCUUUGAGCACAGCCACUUGGCUUUUCGCCUGAUGCCAUAUUUCCUUGUUUAAAACUGCGACCCAAAACUUAAAGAGUAUGAAAAGGGUGUUGUGCAGACAAUGCAUAAUUAACCACUUCUAAACACAGGGUGUGCCAGGCUCCCUUGAAGCUGUUAAUUAUUCUUCAUUAGUGGUCGUAAGUUAAUGUAGACUGAUUCUGGAGCCCCGCCAGUGGCUGGGUCUGGUUGGAACUUGUGACUUCUUUAACUAGAAAUCGUAUUGAACUGUUGAGGAAUGCCUCUGAUUUUUUGCUGCUGUGGGUAGGAAGCUGCAGACACUUCUUCCAUGAGAUGAGCAUCUGGGGCAUUGUUAACGAAAUAAACCAGAUACAGAGAAAACAAGGAAAAGACCUUUCUGUCCUCUGGCAUAGGAUGGCCCUGUGCAGCCUCUCAAGUCUCAUCCUGCCUACAUCCUAGACCCAGAGCCCAACGGAACCUCAUGUUAGGAGCCUGUAUUUCCAGGUACAGCUUGGUGACUUUGCUAAUACAUAAGAUGGGUUUCCACAUUUUCAACUUGAAAUAUAUAACAGGAUAUUCUGCAAUUUGCUUUAAAUAUUUUGUGGUAAAAUAUGUAACAUAAAGCCUGCUUUGAUUCCAGUACAGAGGCAGAGGCAGGCAUAUCUCUGUGAGUUAGAGGUAGCCUGGCCUCCAUAGUUCCAGGUCAGCCAGAGCUACAUGGUGAGACGCUGUCUCAAAAACAAACAAACAAACAGAUUCAUUAUUUUAUUAUGCUGUCAGAGCUGGCUCUGAACUGGGUUCAAACACCCUCCUGCUUCAGUCUUCAAUUGCUAGGAACACAGAUGUGCACCAUUGAGCCCUGUAAAAAGCCACCAUGGUAACCAAUUCACUGUGCCCUGUGGAAAUAUAUUCACACUUGUGCAACCACUCCCCAUCACCCACCUCUAGAAUGUUCCCAAUUUCACAAAUCAAAAUUCUGUCCCCAUUAAACACUGAUCCUCACUCCCCGUAGCCCCACAGUGCUACUUUCUAUUUCUAGGGUCACCACCUCAAGUAUUUGUCCUUGAGGGACUUCUUGUUUCAUUUGGUAUACUGCCUCCAAGGUCUCUCUGCAGUCUUAACAUGGACCACAGCUGCCUUCCUUUCUAAAGCUUAAUCUACUGGAAGUUUCUACCCUAUUUUCCUUCUAUAUUGGGGGCGGGGGGACACUGCAGUUGCUCCUGCCUUGGGUGUUAUGAACAGUACCACUGAAUGUGGGUACGCAAGUCACUCUUAGUUGUGAGGUGUGGAGGUGAGUUCAAGUCACAGCACUUGAGAGGUAGAGGCAGAGGCGGGUCUAUCUGUUAGUUCAAAGCCAGCCAGGGCUAUGUAGGGAGACCUUGUCUUUAAAAAAACAAAACCAAAACC